rnacentral:rRNA from 1 species
UACGAGGGGGGCAAAUGUUGUUCGGAAUCACUGGGCGCAAAGGGCGCGUAGGCGGCCUGCUAAGUCGGACGUGAAAUCCCUCGGCUCAACCGAGGAACUGCGUCCGAUACUGGUGGGCUUGAAUCCGGGAGAGGGAUGUGGAAUUCCAGGUGUAGCGGUGAAAUGCGUAGAUAUCUGGAGGAACACCGGUGGCGAAGGCGGCAUCCUGGACCGGUAUUGACGCUGAGGCGCGAAAGCUAGGGUAGCAAACGGG